AUGGGUCCGGCGCCCGGCGACUCGAAGCGGUUCUCCGGCGUGGUGCCGCCGGCGGCGCUCGUCUUCCUCGCGCUGGUGUUCGUCGCCGGCGCCAUCGUCACGCUCCAUCACAAGGAGAACCUGUCCAUACUGCAGGUGCAGCCACGAGAGCUGGCCGCUAACGAGGACUCGUUCAGGUCCGUGCCCCCGGCCAGCGAUCUGCGCGUCGCCGGGGACGACGUGACCGAGACGCCGUCGGCGGAACAGGCGACGCCACCGGUGGAACAAACGACGACGCUGGUGGAGCAAACGACACCGCCGGUGGAACAGGCGACGACGCAGGUGGAGCAAACAAGGCCGUCGGUGGAACAGGCGACGACGCCGGUGGAGCAAACGACGCCGCCGGUGGAAGAAGCCCCUGACAUCUGCGAGAGCCAGUGCAGGCCUCCGGGCAGCGAGGCGCUGCCGAGGGGCAUCGUGCAGGACAAGUCCAACUUCGAGUUCGAGUCGCUGGGCGGCAACCCCGGGCGGAAGGGGGUCGCCGCCGGCCGGCCGGCGAAGAGCCUCCUGGCGAUCCCCGUCGGCAUCAAGCAGAAGGCCGUCGUCGACAAGCUCGUCUCCAAGUUCCCGGCGGCGAACUUCGCGGUGAUGCUGUUCCACUACGACGGCGCGGUGGACGGGUGGAGCGACCUGCCGUGGUCGCGCCGCGCGGUGCACGUGGCGGCGGUGGACCAGACCAAGUGGUGGUUCGGCAAGCGGUUCCUGCACCCGGACCUCGUCGCCGACUACGACUACAUCUUCCUCUGGGACGAGGACAUCGAGGUGGACGGCUUCGACCCCAUGAGGUACCUCAGGAUCGUCAGGAAGGAGGGGCUCGAGAUCUCGCAGCCGGCGCUGGACCACCGGUCGCAGAUCCACCACCGGCUCACGGCCCGCGCGCGCCACGGCGGGACGGUGCACCGGCGGUUCUACAAGACGGCCGGAGGCGGGAGGUGCUACGGCAACAGCACGGGGCCGCCGUGCACGGGGUGGGUGGAGAUGAUGGUGCCGGUGUUCUCGCGGGCGGCGUGGCGGUGCGCGUGGCGGAUGAUCCAGAACGACCUCGUCUUCGCCUGGGGGCUCGACUUCAAGCUCGGGUACUGCGCGCAGGGCGACCGGAGCACGAACGUCGGCAUCGUCGACAGCGAGUACGUGCUCCACCGCGGCAUCCCCACGCUGGGUGACGGCGGCGGCAAGGGGCCCGCGCCGAAGGCGAAGGCGUCGUCGGCAACGUCGGCGGACAGGUAUGCAGUGCGGCUGCGAUCGUAUAAGGAGCUGCAGAUAUUCAACAAGAGGUGGAAGGAGGCGGUGGCGGAGGACAUGUGCUGGACGGACCCCUACCCGCAGCCGCCGACGCCGACGCCCAAGGGAUGA
rnacentral:rRNA from 1 species